CCUACGGGUGGCAGCAGUGAGGAAUAUUGGUCAAUGGGCGCGAGCCUGAACCAGCCAAGUCGCGUGAGGGAGGACGGCCCUACGGGUUGUAAACCUCUUUUGCCGUGGAGCAACGGGCGUCACGUGUGGCGUCACUGAGAGUACCCGGCGAAAAAGCAUCGGCUAACUCCGUGCCAGCAGCCGCGGUAAUACGGAGGAUGCGGGCGUUAUCCGGAUUUAUUGGGGUUAAAGGGUGCGUAGGCGGAACGUUCAGUCCGUGGGCAAGUUGCGGGGCUAAACCCCGGCCCGCCAUUGAAACUGGCGAUCUUGAGUGGAAGAGAAGUAUGCGGAAUGCGUGGUGUAGCGGUGAAAUGCAUAGAUAUCACGCAGAACCCCGAUGGCGAAGGCAGCAUGCCGGCUUCCGACUGACGCUGAAGCACGAAAGCGUGGGGAGCGAACAGGAUUAGAUACCCUUGUAGUC
rnacentral:rRNA from 1 species